AACGCUGGCGGCGUGCCUAACACAUGCAAGUCGAGCGGGGAGAUCCUCGGGAUGAUCCUAGCGGCGGACGGGUGAGUAACACGUGGGCAACCUGCCUCAUAGAGAGGAAUAGCCUUCCGAAAGGGAGAUUAAUACCUCAUAACAUUGCAGUUUCGCAUGGAACAGCAAUUAAAGGAGUAAUCCGCUAUGAGAUGGGCCCGCGGCGCAUUAGCUAGUUGGUGAGGUAAUGGCUCACCAAGGCGACGAUGCGUAGCCGACCUGAGAGGGUGAUCGGCCACAUUGGGACUGAGACACGGCCCAGACUCCUACGGGAGGCAGCAGUGGGGAAUAUUGCACAAUGGGGGAAACCCUGAUGCAGCCAACGCCGCGUGAGUGAUGACGGCCUUCGGGUUGUAAAGCUCUGUCUUCAGGGACGAUAAUGACGGUACCUGAGGAGGAAGCCACGGCUAACUACGUGCCAGCAGCUGC
rnacentral:rRNA from 1 species